rnacentral:lncRNA from 1 species
UCCAACUCCUGACCUCAUGAUCCCCCCGCCUCAGCCUCCCAAAGUGCUGGGAUUACAAGCGUGAGCCACCGCGACCCGCCAACACUCUUGACAACAGUGCUGUGCUAAGAACUUGGGGGACUUCAAAAAGUUCACCAGUUCCUGUGUCCAUGGGUGAAAAGAUUUUCUACAUCUUUCCUUGACUAGAAACAGAAGUCCUGAAACAAGAAUAUAACGUCAGGAGGCCAGAGGCUUUGUCCUGCCUAAUGUGUUAUUUCCACACUGAAUAAAAGCACCUGAGUCCUGCAUUUUAAAAAGGUUGUACAUCUAGCAAUACCUAACAAAAUAGGAAAUCAACUUGGAAAGCCAAUGGCUGUGUUUUGAGUUUAUGGAGAGCCAUAUGUGGCAAGGAACUGAGGGUGGCAUCCAGGCAACAGACUUCAAGAAACUGAGGCUGUCAGUCCAACAACCCACAAGAACUGAAUCUGACCAACAAUCACAGGAACAAACUUAGAAGUAUACUCUUUCCCAGACAAACCUUCAGAUGAGACCACAGCCCCAGCCAUAAGCUUGAAAACAAUCUCAUGAGGGACCUUGAGCCACAGGCAUGUAGUAAAGCUAUGCCAGGAAUCCUGCCUGCCCCACAGAAAAUGUAAAAAAAAUAAAUUUUUAUUG